rnacentral:rRNA from 1 species
UACGUAGGGGGCAAGCGUUGUCCGGAUUUAUUGGGCGUAAAGAGCGUGUAGGCGGCCUGAAAGGUCAGCUGUGAAAACUCGAGGCUCAACCUCGAGACGUCGGUUGAAACCAUCUGGCUAGAGUCCGGAAGAGGAGUGUGGAAUUCCCGGUGUAGCGGUGAAAUGCGCAGAUAUCGGGAAGAACACCCGUGGCGAAGGCGGCACUCUGGGACGGUACUGACGCUGAGGUGCGAAAGCGUGGGGAGCAAACAGGG